CUGCUGUGAUGACCAACUUAGGACACCUUUGGAUUAAUCAUGAAAAGAACUAAGUGAAUCUGAGCAGU
rnacentral:snoRNA from 1 species